CGGCGUAAGCUGCAUAAGCCAGCUUUUCACCUUAGCCUGACCUUUGUAAGUGUCCAAUAAAAUUCCAAUAAAAUUUCCCGCGGCUAGGUACGAAUGAAUACACUUCAUUUAUUCCAUUGGCUGAUUUGAGUUUACCACCAGAACAUUGGAAACAUAUCCGCGUCUUUGUAACACUGUUUUACUGUAUGAAACAAUUUUAUCUCGAAUGAAAAGGCUUAAUAGAUAGAACAGUUUUACACUCAAUUCUCGACAUCAAUACAGUUUGUGCGUACACCUUUUAUUUUCAGAGUAUUACCAGCGCAAGAGCGUUUAUACUUAAAAGGCUAUGUUCUCAUAUUUAGUUCUUACUUCCUUAUUCCUGUCAACAUGUUAACAUGUAAAAGUAUAAAGAGCAAUGGAAGCGAGGCCUCACUUUAAAGCAUUGCAUUUCAACCCGCGAGUUCAGAGUUUAUAUACAGGUCAUCACCGGAGUUGGCGGCCAGUAAAAUAAUCGUUAUAUAAUAAAGACGCUAUCCGUGAACUAGGUGACCUGGAAUUUUCUUUAGACCAGAAAUAUGUUAAAUGAAGAUAUUCAGCAAUAUAAUUAUGGUAUGUAAAUAAUAGAUUCUUAAUGUGUUUUCAACAAUACAAUGAUAAAUAUUAUUGUUGAUAAAUUUAACAAUAAUUAUUCGUCCAUAUUGCCUAAUGUACUAAAGUGAUAUUAUGAGCAUGUAACAGUUUAUAGGUGUCUAUCGCAACCGUUGAUUAUUUUUGAUGUUUCUACUUCAUAUACACUUAUAUUAAUUAAUGCAGCAUCAUCAUACUAAAACAAUAUACCAGAAAGAGAAAAAUAAUGCAUUUGAAUAUCAACCGUACUUUCGUUUGACAACUGAUCAUGCGUUUACGAGUUGAACCUAAAUUUAGUUUUAGUGCAGAUUUGUUCAUACGACACAAAGACACGAAAUUGUUUUACGGAUCAUUUCAGCUUACAGGACUGGGUGGGUCACGUAAGAAUAUCGAAUAUAAAAUAUAUUUUUAUAAACAACUGGUAGCAAGGUGAGUUGCAGAUAAUUAAUCAGUAACCACAUUUUAACUAACUAUUUUGACCUGUUAAUUCUUUUCAGCUCAAUUCAACAGUGCAAAAUGCCCAUAAUAUCACUUUAAGCAUUAGCACGAUGAUAAUUGAUACCGUUAAUAAUCGAAUCAAAUAGCAAUGCCCGACAAACCACUAAAACAGGUUUGUUCGAAGAACGCGCCUAUAAAUACGGAUACUUCUUGUGUGGCCGGUUGACUCAUAUGUUUAAAUUUCACUUCCAUUCUUCUUGUGGUUUUCUGUUUUGUAUCUAUAGGUUUAUGACCAGCAAUAUGUUAUAAUGUAAAAUAAGCCGCGAAAACUCCCCGUAACAUCCCGUACUGCGUGUGAUGCAGCUAAGAACUGCACAGAAAAAGACAUUCGCUAUCCUUGAUCUCAUUCAUUAAACUAUUUACGCCGUAUAUCUUUUUUAAAGAUAUUUCUUGUUACUGCUAUUGUCAAGUUUUAUGGGGGUUAUUAUCGGAUUAACGGCUCCUUUAUGAUAUUGAGCAAUAAGUUAAGUAACACGGGGACAAACUGUCACGACAAUCAAUAAUUAUAAUGAUUAUUAGGGCCGCUAUUACUUUGUUACAAUCAAAACCAUGGGGCUGGCAAAAGCAUUUAAUUUCUCCACAUCAACAAAUAAAAACUUGUUUCAACAGGCAACUAGAAUGGAUGGUGGCAAUUAUCUGGGCCUUUCUGUCAGGAAAAAGGCGUGAACAACAGUCAUUUAAUUGAACCUGGAAAUCAUCCACCACUAACAGAAAACUUGUUAACAACAGAAGCUGAUGUAUAUCAUGUCCAAAUGACCAAAUAUAACUGUUAAACACUUUGAAGUGGAAUAACCGACAGUAUUCACGCCGCGAAAAAGUGGCGACAACUUUUUUUGGGCCAGUGGAACCCCUGCUUGUCCAUAACCAUUGGGCCUAUUUCUACCCAAUUCGGUAGGUAGUGACAUCUAAUAGUUCUCUACUUAGUUUGUUCAAAUUAUGCCCCUAGGAACCAAUUUGACCUUGCCCCAGGGGUCACAAAAAUGAACAUAUGCUUAAAUAAGGCCUUUUUUGUGCAAACCAGGGUUGGCAUUUUGACCGGUCAAUUGAGUAUUGACUGGGCCGGCGGUCAAUACCUGGUUAAAACCGGUCAAUACUGGUCAAUAUUGGUUGGAUUGAAAAUUAUAGCAUUUAAACAUCACAGAGCUCGACAUUAACUUUUGAAGCCACUUGUCCAGUCGGACAAGUAGACCAUAAUUUCACUUGUCCUGACAAAAAAGCAACUUGUCCUGACCAUUAUAUCUUAUUCUGCUCAGUACUUUGCAAAAUAAUGAAAUUAUACAAAAUGCUCAAAUCAUAAAGACUUGAAUCGUUUAAAAUACAUGUAAACAUAAUUGUAGGCAAUUUCAAUACAAAAAGAACUUACUAGAAUAAUAGAAAAACUCAAGAUUUUUGAUUUUUAAACAUUAUACAAAGCCAUAAUACCUGACAAAAACUUGUGUGUUGCCAACAUCAAACAGAAAAUGUUAUAAGUGAUGUAUAUGUACAGUACUUAACUGAUAUUUCAAAAAACAAAAUCAUUCUAUACAUAGAGAGGACGUCACUACGUUAAUUGUCUGUAAGACCGGUGUGUACCGGUGUCGUAAAAUUCAUAUUCUUUACAAGGGAGAAUAUUCUUGUUAUCUUGGCACAGAAAAAAAUGUUAAGGGUUGCUUCCCUUGUGAACAGUACAGUGUAGUACAUGUAUCACAUGGAACUAUUGGAAUAUCU